rnacentral:sRNA from 1 species
UCAAUCUUCUCAUGUAGCCCUUGGUAGGU